UACGAAGGGGGCUAGCGUUGUUCGGAAUUACUGGGCGUAAAGCGCACGUAGGCGGUUACUUAAGUCAGGGGUGAAAUCCCGGGGCUCAACCACGGAACUGCCUUUGAUACUGGGUAUCUCGAGUCCGGAAGAGGUGAGUGGAAUUCCGAGUGUAGAGGUGAAAUUCGUAGAUAUUCGGAGGAACACCAGUGGCGAAGGCGGCUCACUGGUUCGGUACUGACGCUGAGGUGCGAAAGCGUGGGGAGCAAACAGG
rnacentral:rRNA from 1 species